UUGUCGGGGGAAGCAAUUCUAUGAACUAUGCGGAGCCUGCUAGUAGAUAGGUUUGGCUCAGCUACAGUUGUCUUUCAUAUAAAGGACAGCAGUUAUGUUUUCACGUUUGACUGCACUGUUUUUCAAAGUUCCUUGUUUUUUGCAUGACCGCUAAUCUUGCUUGAAUGUCACAUGGACGCAAUGUGACUCUAGAUUAAUAAAACAUGACUGUUUUACAGUAUCCACACACACCCAUGAAUAGCCUCACACAUGUGUAAAGUUCCUGGUGUCUCUACAACACUCAAGAGCCAGGCAUAAACCGGAAGACGUCGCUUGGGUCUGCCAGUGGUUACGCUGCUUCAGCAUGUAACCAUCUAUACUCCGAAAGAAACUGCGGAAUGGCGGUUCCGAAGUGCCGUAGCAAUCACGUGAUUAUUAUUAUUAUGACCAU